ACACAACUCAAGAUAACCUAUGGAGGAGUGACAACUCAGAAACAUGAUUGUUGGUAUCCCUUCCUUUGUUUGAAAAAGGAUCUCGGUACCCAUUUGAUUUAACUUAAACCGACCGUUUAUCUAAGUUGUAUAUAUAGUGGAUAGUAUUCAAAGCAAACUGGCCUUUCAUCUGAUCCAUUUAUUUUGAGUCAAUUUCAAACUUUUUUUUUGACGAAACAACCAUCAACGGGUUAUUUAUUGCCAAAGAACCGUUCGACCGCGGAAGAAAUGGCCCGUUUAUAAGGAAAAACACAAAAAAAAAACACUAGAGCUUGGAGGUAGGGUUAGAGGUCUAGAAAACUAGAAAAACAACCUAAGAAACAUCAUCUGAUUCGGAAACGAGAGCACCCAAACCCAAGGUCACUACAUGGUGCAUCUCAAUUACAACCUGCACACUCACUCCACCCUUGAAAAUCUCCUUGUGCCGACGACUCUCCAUCCGAAUAGCGCUAAUCCCUAGCGACGAUAAAGGCCCACAACCAAAGAGACUCCUAAAACAAUUGUAAAAGGUCACAUGCUUAUACAUUUACCGUCUGCGUAUCCGACAAUAGAUCAUCACAAGUGAGCCCUGAAGCCGCGAGGUCCACUUGUGCCUUUCCGCUGACGCCAGCCAAGACGUGAAUCGCCUCGAUCGCCUCGGGCAUGAGCGGCUUCUUGUACAUCUCCAAGUAUGCCUUCAUCCUCUUCUCUGCGCUCUCCUCGGAGUCAUUCUCCUUUUCCUUUCCAAUGGGCAUUUCUCCAAAUGCCUCCUCUAGCCUAAUCUCAGCCCGCUUGGCC
rnacentral:lncRNA from 1 species